rnacentral:rRNA from 1 species
CCUACGGGAGGCAGCAGUGGGGAAUUUUGGACAAUGGGCGCAAGCCUGAUCCAGCAAUGCCGCGUGCAGGAUGAAGGCCUUCGGGUUGUAAACUGCUUUUGUACGGAACGAAACGGUUCUUUCUAAUAAAGAGAGCUAAUGACGGUACCGUAAGAAUAAGCACCGGCUAACUACGUGCCAGCAGCCGCGGUAAUACGUAGGGUGCGAGCGUUAAUCGGAAUUACUGGGCGUAAAGCGUGCGCAGGCGGUUAUAUAAGACAGAUGUGAAAUCCCCGGGCUCAACCUGGGACCUGCAUUUGUGACUGUAUAGCUAGAGUACGGUAGAGGGGGAUGGAAUUCCGCGUGUAGCAGUGAAAUGCGUAGAUAUGCGGAGGAACACCGAUGGCGAAGGCAAUCCCCUGGACCUGUACUGACGCUCAUGCACGAAAGCGUGGGGAGCAAACAGGAUUAGAUACCCUGGUAGUCCACGCCCUAAACGAUGUCAACUGGUUGUUGGGUCUUCACUGACUCAGUAACGAAGCUAACGCGUGAAGUUGACCGCCUGGGGAGUACGGCCGCAAGGUUGAAACUCAAAGGAUUGACGG